rnacentral:rRNA from 1 species
UACGGAGGGAGCUAGCGUUAUUCGGAAUUACUGGGCGUAAAGCGCACGUAGGCGGCUUUGUAAGUAAGGAGGUGAAAGCCCAGAGCUCAACUCUGGAAUUGCCUUUUAGACUGCAUCGCUUGAAUCAUGGAGAGGUCAGUGGAAUUCCGAGUGUAGAGGUGAAAUUCGUAGAUAUUCGGAAGAACACCAGUGGCGAAGGCGGCUGACUGGACAUGUAUUGACGCUGAGGUGCGAAAGCGUGGGGAGCAAACAGG